UAACAGAUUCUUGCUUGCGUUCUAGCGGACAGUUAGCUUUGCUAAGUUAGCUUAUUACCUGUUUUGACUAAAAUAAUUUCCACUGACAGUAAAGUACGUUGACCUUACGUCUAGAAAUGCUGUGGAGCGAUUUACCUCCCACUACAGCCGAUAGCCGAGCCGUGAUCCUAGUUCGUGGUCCAAAGAUUGGAGUAGUUGACAAGAAAGUGUUCCCGACACCAGGUAAAACUGAUGGCCUGUUAUGUGGACAAGCAGGUACUUGUGACGCAGCUUGGUCCCAGCCCCUGUUCCUUGGACAGUGAGAGUCUUGGAAGAGGGGAAAGAUGUACAACAGUUAAAAGCGUUGGACAAGCCAAGAGGGAGGAGAAAAAGACAGAGGCAUCCGAGAGGCCACAACGUGCCCAGAUGGUCCCGCCGGAGACGCGUCGGAGGCAGGUUUGUGAGGAGGCGGACGAGGCCGAGAGGCCAGCUGAGGACAAGCUCCGACAGCUCCAGGAGGUGGCAGAGGAGGUGUCGGAGGCCGAACACAGGGAGUCUCGGAGAGCGACAGACAUCCUCCUCAGCCUGUCCUCAAAGCCACCGGCAGCAGAUUGGAAACCUGAUGCUCUACACAUGUACUGGGAACUGAAACAGCAUGUGCCAUGAUGCUUUCUCUGGCUGACAAGGACUUACUCCACCCAGCCAAUCACAUGCCAGCCCCCAUGUGGCACAGCCUGGCCUUGACCGCUGCC
ensembl:lncRNA